rnacentral:sRNA from 1 species
UGAACGCGUUAGCUAUGUCAAGGGACACC